GGACAGUGACGAUUUCGAUGUUAUUAAGGUCUCGUUCGUCGUAAUUGGCCUAAUCGGGCCUUGCCGACCAUCCUGAUAUAUCACCACCCAUAUUCUGAGUCC